GUUUAGUUUUAUUUAAUUUAAAUUUAAAGAGCCGCACGUAGCUAGCGGAUGCUGUGUCGGCACAGCUAUGUGCAAAUCCUCGUGCCUGAGACAACGAGGAGGAAGACAGAGCACUGUCGACUCGAGAAUCUGCCUGCCUCGUCCAGAGGGCUCCCCUUUCAAGAAUCUUCCUGCUUUUCGUUACGGAGGUUGCUCUUCAUUUCCUUUGAAAUAAGCACAAUGCUUUAGACAAAGAACAAAGCCACGUUUCUCUUUAACUGGACCUGUUCUUCUGGAUUUGGGUGGACAAAUGAAUGAGGAAUUCGAAGGCGAAGUGAAUGAGGGCUCUCUGCACCUCGCCUGAACCCCAAAGGACGGCCGAGCCAUGGUGGUCGUCCUCCGCUGACCACUGGAACAGAGAUUUGGAGCUAGGAAUCCAGGUCCCCAGAAGUCACCCCAAGCAACUCUUGAGACAUCUUCCAAACGCCGAUCCUUUCUUUUCCCUACUCCCUGCCCUAUCCCCAGCCCCCCACUUUACCCUUGAUUUCUCUUCUCCUCUCUUUUCCUUUUUUUCCUCUCCCAUAUUUUUGGUACCCAAAGUCUGUCCCCAAUUCAGCCACUUCUCCCUCUCUCCACUGCAGCCAC
rnacentral:lncRNA from 1 species